UCUUAUGGAUGAGCAAAGAAGGUGGUUUACUGAGAUGUAACCUAUCCCUGGUAAAGAUGCUGUGAA
rnacentral:pre_miRNA from 1 species